UAUGGCAUCCGCUAUAUGUAUGCCGUAAAAGAUUAAUUAGUUAAAAUAUUUACGAUGUACAUCCUCUGCACGCCGUAUUGAACGAGCAUUUACGGCAUGCUUUUAGUGUUCACUGUAAAAAAUUUGAAAGUUUACAAUGCCCUAAAACGUGGCAUUUCAUCCACCACCGCUACGUCAACUCCGCCUUUCCACGACUUUGCCAGGCGUCUCAGCUCUGGGACGAUUCACGAUUAGACGACGACACUACACGGCCAGUCUUCUCAAUCUCUGCCAUUCAAUCUUCUCGAUCGCGAGAUCUGUUGCAGGCCAGGCCUUGCAGUUCCGCCCCUGUACAAACCUGUAUUAGCCUUUUAAUUUAUAGUUUCAUCUGUGAAAUGGCGUUGAAAUCCUGGUAGAUGGCUUCAUCUUCUCUAAUCUUUGAAACCGAACCGUGGAAGGAUUUGACGCUGAAGAUCAUUAGCAAUCUAGUCUCUUUUAAAGCAGUGGAAGAAUAUGCCUCUGACAGGCAAGGAUGACCAAAAACCGGCUCUUGAUGUUGAUGCUUCGAUGUUCAAUAUCGUUACUUCUGUUGGACUUAUUAUUGUAAAUAAAGCUUUGUUGGCUACAUAUGGAUUUACUUCUGGACUCCUCAGCCUCACAAACUAAAAUAAAGCUAUGGCAUCCGCGAUCUGGUAUCCACUGACCCUGUCACAAGCUGCAAAACUGGUCCAAUGCUUACUUGCCAACAAGAGAUCACCAUGAUUGUGGGAUGUCUUCAAUAUGGGUCGAUAUUUUGUACUAUUUUAAUAAAUUAUUUUUGGAGUGGUAAUCGAUACUUUUGGUAUAUUGACAUCAACUUUUUGAAUAGGCUAAUGAUGUUCUUAGUAAUCAUUUAGAUUAACCCUACAUUUUUGGUAUAUUGUAUUUGAUUGCACUUAAUACUAUUAUUUAUUGAAAUUAUGGAAAACAUGAUUAUAUUA